AAGAGACUGUAGGGGGUAGAGCACUGUUUCGGCUAGGGGGUCAUCCCGACUUACCAAACCGAUGCAAACUCCGAAUACCUACAAGUGCCGAGCAUGGGAGACACACGGCGGGUGCUAACGUCCGUCGUGAAAAGGGAAACAACCCAGACCGUCAGCUAAGGUCCCAAAGUUAUGGUUAAGUGGGAAACGAUGUGGGAAGGCUUAGACAGCUAGGAGGUUGGCUUAGAAGCAGCCACCCUUUAAAGAAAGCGUAAUAGCUCACUAGUCGAGUCGGCCUGCGCGGAAGAUGUAACGGGGCUCAAACCAUACACCGAAGCUACGGGUAUCAYCUUCGGRUGAUGCGGUAGAGGAGCGUUCUGUAAGCCUGUGAAGGUGAGUUGAGAAGCUUGCUGGAGGUAUCAGAAGUGCGAAUGCUGACAUGAGUAACGACAAUGGGUGUGAAAAACACCCACGCCGAAAGACCAAGGUUUCCUGCGCAACGUUAAUCGACGCAGGGUUAGUCGGUCCCUAAGGCGAGGCUGAAAAGCGUAGUCGAUGGAAAACAGGUUAAUAUUCCUGUACUUCUGGUUAUUGCGAUGGAGGGACGGAGAAGGCUAGGCCAGCUUGGCGUUGGUUGUCCAAGUUUAAGGUGGUAGGCUGGAAUCUUAGGUAAAUCCGGGAUUYYAAGGCCGAGAGCUGAUGACGAGUGUUCUUUUAGAACACGAAGUGGUUGAUGCCAUGCUUCCAAGAAAAGCUUCUAAGCUUCAGGUAACCAGGAACCGUACCCCAAACCGACACAGGUGGUUGGGUAGAGAAUACCAAGGCGCUUGAGAGAACUCGGGUGAAGGAACUAGGCAAAAUGGCACCGUAACUUCGGGAGAAGGUGCGCCGGUGAGGGUGAAGGACUUGCUCCGUAAGCCCACGCCGGUCGAAGAUACCAGGCCGCUGCGACUGUUUAUUAAAAACACAGCACUCUGCAAACACGAAAGUGGACGUAUAGGGUGUGACGCCUGCCCGGUGCCGGAAGGUUAAUUGAUGGGGUUAGCUAACGCGAAGCUCUUGAUCGAAGCCCCGGUAAACGGCGGCCGUAACUAUAACGGUCCUAAGGUAGCGAAAUUCCUUGUCGGGUAAGUUCCGACCUGCACGAAUGGCGUAACGAUGGCGGCGCUGUCUCCACCCGAGACUCAGUGAAAUUGAAAUCGCUGUGAAGAUGCAGUGUAUCCGCGGCUAGACGGAAAGACCCCGUGAACCUUUACUAUAGCUUUGCACUGGACUUUGAAUUUGCUUGUGUAGGAUAGGUGGGAGGCUUUGAAGCGUGGACGCCAGUUCGCGUGGAGCCAUCCUUGAAAUACCACCCUGGCAACUUUGAGGUUCUAACUCAGGUCCGUUAUCCGGAUCGAGGACAGUGUAUGGUGGGUAGUUUGACUGGGGCGGUCUCCUCCUAAAGAGUAACGGAGGAGUACGAAGGUGCGCUCAGACCGGUCGGAAAUCGGUCGUAGAGUAUAAAGGCAAAAGCGCGCUUGACUGCGAGACAGACACGUCGAGCAGGUACGAAAGUAGGUCUUAGUGAUCCGGUGGUUCUGUAUGGAAGGGCCAUCGCUCAACGGAUAAAAGGUACUCCGGGGAUAACAGGCUGAUACCGCCCAAGAGUUCAUAUCGACGGCGGUGUUUGGCACCUCGAUGUCGGCUCAUCACAUCCUGGGGCUGAAGCCGGUCCCAAGGGUAUGGCUGUUCGCCAUUUAAAGUGGUACGCGAGCUGGGUUUAGAACGUCGUGAGACAGUUCGGUCCCUAUCUGCCGUGGACGUUUGAGAUUUGAGAGGGGCUGCUCCUAGUACGAGAGGACCGGAGUGGACGAACCUCUGGUGUUCCGGUUGUCACGCCAGUGGCAUUGCCGGGUAGCUAUGUUCGGAAUAGAUAACCGCUGAAAGCAUCUAAGCGGGAAACUAGCCUCAAGAUGAGAUCUCACUGGGACCUUGAGUCCCCUGAAGGGCCGUCGAAGACUACGACGUUGAUAGGUUGGGUGUGUAAGCGCUGUGAGGCGUUGAGCUAACCAAUACUAAUUGCCCGUGAGGCUUGACCAU
rnacentral:rRNA from 1 species